AUUGAACGCUGGCGGCAGGCCUAACACAUGCAAGUCGAGCGGAUGAAGGGAGCUUGCUCCUGGAUUCAGCGGCGGACGGGUGAGUAAUGCCUAGGAAUCUGCCUGGUAGUGGGGGAUAACGUCCGGAAACGGGCGCUAAUACCGCAUACGUCCUGAGGGAGAAAGUGGGGGAUCUUCGGACCUCACGCUAUCAGAUGAGCCUAGGUCGGAUUAGCUAGUUGGUGGGGUAAAGGCCUACCAAGGCGACGAUCCGUAACUGGUCUGAGAGGAUGAUCAGUCACACUGGAACUGAGACACGGUCCAGACACCUACGGGAGGCAGCAGUGGGGAAUAUUGGACAAAGGGCGAAAGCCUGAUCCAGCCAUGCCGCGUGUGUGAAGAAGGUCUUCGGAUUGUAAAGCACUUUAAGUUGGGAGGAAGGGCAGUAAGUUAAUACCUUGCUGUUUUGACGUUACCAACAGAAUAAGCACCGGCUAACUUCGUG
rnacentral:rRNA from 1 species